rnacentral:rRNA from 1 species
CGACGUGGAGAACCUGCCGUAUACUGGGGGAUAACACUUAGAAAUACGGUGCUAAUACCGCAUAAGCGCACAGCUUCGCAUGAAGCAGUGUGGAAAACAAAAGCUAAAGCUUUUGGUGGUAUACGAUGGAUCCGCGUCUGGUUAGCUAGUUGGCGGGGUAAAGGCCCACCAAGGCGACGAUCAGUAGCCGGCCUGAGAGGGUGAACGGCCACAUUGGGACUGAGACACGGCCCAAACUCCUACGGGAGGCAGCAG